GGGGUUAUAGCUCAGUGGUAGAGCGCUUGUCUUGCAUGCAUGAGGCCCUGGGUUCGAUCCUCGGCACCA
rnacentral:tRNA from 1 species